UGCGGAGGGCCGGGGGCGGGGCUCCGAGGCCAGAUAGCGGCUACCGACUUACGAUCAGCCUCUGCCGGUCCGAUCCCGCCACCCUCCUGAUGCUGCUCGCGGACGACGACCGGCCUGAGCCCACGCCCAGCGGGGUACGCGAGCUCUCGCUCUUCCUGACUCCCGACCCUGGGGCAGAGGCAAGGGAGGUGGAGGCAGCCAUUGAGGAGAUGCUCCUCCUGCUGGAAGAGUUUUGCAGCUUCACGGACACGAAACCAGCAGCAGCAUUCGAGCUGCCCACGCUGUACCGGACUGAGGACCAUUUUCCCACAGACACCCAAGAGUCUCAGCAUCACAGCCCCUAACUGCAUCGGCCUCUGUGAGCUUUGCCGUCCUCCUGUUGGGACAUUGGGACUGAAACUGUGUCCUCAGUUACUUCCCCUUUGUUAGUGAUUUACUUCGCACCCCUGCCAUCACCCCAGGGUCCAGAGGAGUCGUGGGGACGCUCACGUGGCUGUGCUUGGAGGUCAGAGGCCCAGCGUCUCCUGGUAGCAUCUGGCCCAUCAGCCUGCUGUUCUAAGGGUGAGGCUCCGGGGCUGCUGGGCUGGCAGCAGGUGGUACCUUCUCUGGAUGAAGGCUCUGGGGAUGAAGUGGCUGCACUGCCGCUGGGCCCAGGCCUGCAGCGUCUGCCUCUGCCUGCGGACCCUGAGCCCUGGCCCUGUGCGUUGUCCCAACAAAUGCCACACUCGCGCGUGGUUGGGUGAGAACAGCUGGGAACGCCAGUUUCCUUGUUGCCCAUGUAUGGUCUCUUGAAGGCUCCCCCUGCGUCCCACAGUGGCCUGGCCUGAGCCUGCUCACUGCAGGCCGUGCCUUCCAUCCCCAGUGGAAAGUGGAGGCCGGAGCACUGUGGUCUCGAAGGUGUCUUGUCUUCACUUCUGUCUUGUGCAAGUGUCCCGGUUUGCUCUGGUUUGCUUACUGUGGCUUUGACCUGGAAUGGAGAUUUCUGGAAUUCCUUGCAGAGCCAAGAAGCACACACAAACCCCUAAAGGGUUCAAAUUUCAAGGAAGGCUAAACUAGUGAAUCUGUCAAGAUAAAGAUAGAAAGGAGCCGGGGACUUAGCUCAGUGGAGCAGCACUUCCCUUGCAAGCACAAGGUCCCGGGUUUGUACUAAAAAAAAAAAGUUAAAAAAAUAAAGGUAAGGGCAAGGAAUAAGUUGGGCCGUGCCAAUUUUGGGAACGUUUUUGGAAUUAAAAAGAUACAGAUGGGGCUGAAGAUGUAGCUCAGUGGAAAAGUAUUUACUCAGCAUGCAGGAGACCCUGGAUUCAAUCCCCAGUGCUGCAACAAAACAAAACAAAAAAGCAAUAAAGGUACUACUUAAGAGGCUGAAGCAGGAGAAUUCCAAGAUUCCAAGUUUGAGGCCAGCCUCAGCCACUUUAUACGUUUAACUCCUUAGUCCAUUUAGAAUUCUGGAUCUGUGGGCUCAACAUUAAAAAAACAAAAAAGCUGAGAUGUAGCUUAGUGUGAAGGCUCUGGGUUCAAUCCCCAGUGCUGCAAAUGGGCACCUCACUCAAGUUCACAAACAACACAUCUGUGUGACCCAGCCCAUCGUCAGCACCCAGGAGUCUCUCGAGUGCCCUUCCUGUGCACACCCGCCUGGACCCAAACACCGGACAGGAGGGGCUGGCUUUGUGGUCCCCAAGCCCUGGGCGGGUGGAGGGUGCAGGUGUAUGUGGCCGUUACGAGUAUCCCUUUGUGUCUGGCUUCGUGGGCUGGACUUGUUCCUGCGGGCUGCAUCCCUGUGGCUGUGUAGUUGCAGAUCGUUUAUUCUCACGGCUGUGUAUUGAUUGGGCCUGCUAUUAAUGAGGAAGCCUCCCCAUUCACCAUGCCUGUCCGCUCACAGGGAGCAGAGAUUGAAUGGGAAGUUAAUUUUUACACAGGCAGAUGAGGACACCAGUUUUCAGAAGGCCCCGUAUCUGUGAUGACAGUAGACUUUCAGGCUUCUUGCCCCUUCCAGGGGCCAAGGAGAGGUGGAAGGUCAUGUCAUAUGCUUAAGCCAUAGCAACAAAAGCCAUAGCAACAGAGACCUGCAGGGCUGUGGCUGAGGUUAGCCUGCCCGGGUGGCACCUUCAUCUCCUGCAUAGUUCAGCUGUGACCCUAACUUUGCUGCUUACCCUCUGUGAGCCCAGCCUCUUCCUCUGUGAGAUCCAUGGGGCAUGGGCUGUUGUGACACGAGAUAAGCUGUGUGCAUGCUUGGCCCAAAAGUCUGUCCAGAGACACUUGGUAAUGGGUGUCUGCGUGUUGUCACUGGCUGACAGGGAAGGGAACUAUGUACUGUAUCUCGGUUGACCUCAUGUGCUUUCAUGACUUCAUGACUUAAUACUGUCAAGUGAGUGGCGUCCCUAACUACUGGCUUUGGCACCCACCCACCCAGGGGAACGUGCUUUCUUUUUUUUUUCUUUUGGUACCGGGGAUUGAACUCUGGUCCUUGCGCUUGCAAGGCAGGCCACGGAACCGCUGAGCUAAAUCCCGGGCCCGGCAUGUGCUUUCAGUAACUUAAAGUUAUUCGGCAGGGAAGUCCACACUUUCAGGGUUUCAUUUUCACAACCACCUACUGUGCUGUCCCUUGUCCUCCUGUCACGCUCUGUCUUCUCUGUCUUCUUGAGUGUUGCAUGCAGGUCACAGAAUUUCUUUUUCCUGAAAGAGCUUUCUUGAAAUUCCAGUAGCUCCAUUUCCAGAUUCCCAAAAUCUAACCAGUGUAAACAGGCAAGAUUGAGUUCUUCAAAUCUGGCUUUAUCUGGAGAAAACACAGGGUUGUC
ensembl:lincRNA